UACGUAGGGUGCGAGCGUUAAUCGGAAUUACUGGGCGUAAAGCGUGCGCAGGCGGUUUUGUAAGACAGAUGUGAAAUCCCCGGGCUUAACCUGGGAACUGCGUUUGUGACUGCAAGACUUGAGUGCAGCAGAGGGGGGUGGAAUUCCACGUGUAGCAGUGAAAUGCGUAGAGAUGUGGAGGAACACCGAUGGCGAAGGCAGCCCCCUGGGUUGACACUGACGCUCAUGCACGAAAGCGUGGGUAGCAAAC
rnacentral:rRNA from 1 species